UACGGAGGGAGCUAGCGUUGUUCGGAAUUACUGGGCGUAAAGCGCACGUAGGCGGCUUUGUAAGUUAGAGGUGAAAGCCCGGGGCUCAACUCCGGAAUUGCCUUUAAGACUGCAUCGCUAGAAUUGUGGAGAGGUAAGUGGAAUUCCGAGUGUAGAGGUGAAAUUCGUAGAUAUUCGGAAGAACACCGGUGGCGAAGGCGGCUCACUGGCUCGUUUCUGACGCUCAGGCGCGACAGCGUGGGGAUCAAACAGG
rnacentral:rRNA from 1 species